rnacentral:rRNA from 1 species
AUGGAUUCACUGUUGCUGUUCAGUAUAUCUCUCGUGUGGUUCGUCUGUCGUUCUGUGUUCUGUUUCGUUCUGCCCGCCACGAAUCCGUCCAUGGCCCAGGCCUCGGCCUCGGCGCCGCCGACUUCGCGGGGGCGCCCAGGGUCGUCGCCGCGGAGGCCGACGCCGACCUCGUGCUGCUCCGCUACGCGCGGCUACGCUUGCGCUGCUUCGACUACUUCCUCUACACGCCGCACGGAUCACGCUCGGAGGCCCGCGCGGUAUCCUCGCCUUCAACGUGUUCGACGAAAGUCCCGUGCUCCAGGACGUGCCUCUGCCGCCGCCUGCGAGGGGGAAAAGGCUAUCUUACGCCUACCACAAGCGCUGUUCCUUCCCGAUCCGGGACAUCACCGUCAGCCCAAGCAAAGAUUGCAUCAAGCACAUCGAGAUGGAAACUGGCCUGCCAAGAAGGGAGAACGUGGUGACCUCCGAGGAGUACCGCCGAGGUUCCACCAGAAGCCACGCCCUGAACCCCGCUGUGGUGGCUGGAGGGCCACCACAUGGAGCAUGCCGAUCCUGAUUCCAUUCUGUCAUGGGAGGACUGGAGCCCUGGCUGCACCGGAUGUCGAUGAGAUUAUCGUCGGGCCAAUACAUUCCAAGCUGCUGCCAUGGACGCCAGGCAGUAUCAGUGACAGUGAGCCCACGGAGGUGACGUUGCUGCCAGUCCUCAACACGGGUUUACCCGCAAUGAGUAUGGAUGAUGAUGUUGUGUACCUGCUGUCCAAGGCAUGCUCCUCUGGUGAGAUGGAAGUGGUGAUUGCUGUUGACUCGAGGAAGAAGACGCUGCGAGGAGUGGGCAAGCUUGUUGCCGGAAAAGACUUCACUGACAUGCGCAACCUCACCACCAAGAUCUCCAAGUAUCUCAGUCUCAAUACGGCCGCAGAAUGA